rnacentral:rRNA from 1 species
UACGUAGGGGGCUAGCGUUGUCCGGAAUCAUUGGGCGUAAAGAGCGUGUAGGCGGUCCGGUAAGUCCGCUGUGAAAGUCGGGGGCUCAACCCUCGAAUGCCGGUGGAUACUGCCGGACUAGAGUUCGGAAGAGGCGAGUGGAAUUCCCGGUGUAGCGGUGAAAUGCGCAGAUAUCGGGAGGAACACCUAUGGCGAAGGCAGCUCGCUGGGACGUUACUGACGCUGAGGAGCGAAAGCAUGGGGAGCGAACAGG